rnacentral:rRNA from 1 species
CGCAGGCGGUCAAUUAAGUCUGAUGUUUAAGCCCGGGGCUCAACCCCGGUUCGCAUCGGAAACUGGUUGACUUGAGUGUAGGAGAGGAAAGUGGAAUUCCACGUGUAGCGGUGAAAUGCGUAGAGAUGUGGAGGAACACCAGUGGCGAAGGCGACUUUCUGGCCUAUAACUGACGCUGAGGCGCGAAAGCGUGGGGAGCAAACA